CCUAUUCCCAUUAUAGUGCACUACUAUAAGGCUCUGGUCAAAAGAAGUGCACUGUACAUUGGAACCAGGGUGUCAAUUGGGAAACAGACACAGUCUUGCAGGAAUCACAUGUCUGGGACACAGAGGCUUGAGGACAGCAAUGGUUCAUCAGUCAUCACACCACAUGAUCAGAGGAAGAGACAGAAGUAUUACCAAGAGACCUGGGCUAGAGAUCUGGAUGGAAAGAGUUGCAGAGAAGAAGCCUGGCUUGUUACUAAGUUAUUGAUAAACUGGAAACAUCCCACGGGGAGAGCCAUCUCCGUGCCUGACUGCCUGACAGAGAAAUGGAUCGACCAAAAAAAUAUCCAACAGCUCCUUAAUAAUCUGAAUCUACUGCCUGCCGCCGUGUAGCCCCUGAUUCCUGGACAGAUAUUUCUGGCGUGCCUGGUAACCCGGGACAGCCAGAGGGUCCUUCUCGUUAAUAGCUGAUGUAAAGAAGGAGCUUUAUCCAAAACCAGGGGUCUGAAACCGGAGACGGGGAGCUGUUGGUUACCUUAUCCCCAGAGAGAUGAAUCUUCGUGGGCCAUCUGCCCACCCGGGGGCCCGUAGGGGCCAGGAUCCGUGCUGGAGAAGAUCAUGGGAACCGUCCUAUUGGGACGGACUCAUGUCUGAAGUGGAGGUGGUGCCCCGACAUACCGGUCUUACGGGAUGUAACCCUCCUCAGCAACAGAGUGCCAGAGAUGAAGGGAGCCACAGCCAGAAUCUAGACAGGUGUUUGCAGGAGUUGGAGAGAGUGCAGUGUCAGACCUAUUUUAAAGGAGGAAGCCCAGUUAGCAGUCCUGGCCAAGUGCAGUGUCAGACCUAUUUUAAAGGAGGAAGCCCAGUUAGCAGUCCUGGCCAAGUGCAGUGUCAGACCUAUUUUAAAGGAGGAAGCCCAGUUAGCAGUUCUGGCCAAGUGCAGUGUCAGACCUAUUUUAAAGGAGGAAGCCCAGUUAGCAGUCCUGGCCAAGUGUCGAAGGUAGAGCUUGUGCCUCCAUCUCCCCCUCAACAUACCCCUGCUCGUACCCCUCGGCCGCACAGCGCCAUCGAGGGAAGACGUCAGAUGAACGAGUGGCUGUAUGAGUUGGAGAAGAUGCAGAGUGGGGACUAUUUUGAAGGAAGCCCCACUGACAGCCCAGAGGUUGAGCCCCAUCCGAAGGUUCAUUUGGGUCGUACCCCUCGCCCGCAGAGCGCCAUCGAGGGAGGUAGCCAGAAUCUAGACAGGUGGUUACAGGAGCUGGAGAGGAUGGAGAACGGGAGAUAUUUCGGAAACCCUGACCGAGCGCAGAGAGAUCAAGUGCAGGCCCCUUUCUACGACGGGACAGCGUCGAUGCCAACCCUUCACAAGGAACCCGUUGGCUCUGGCCUGCAUUACCACUACCAGGGCCUCCCCUCGUCCCCAUCUCUCUGCAGCCGGGACAGGGACCUCUCCCCCUGUGGGACUCCCAGCCAGAGUGACAGUUCCCUGGGCAGCCAGGAGUCCCUCAGGGCAGGAUUGUCCUCUGCCCCGGACUACAACGGUAGCUGGGAAAGGGCUAUAAUCAAGCAGGCUCCAGGGAAGGAGGAGGCUAAACUCAGCUCUCUGACUCCGGUGAGAGUGGGCUGGCUGCCCAUCCAGAGAAGGGCCCUGUUGAGGGAUGCUCCAGGCCCUGGACCCAGACAUCCACACCCUCAGGUCAAUGUAGCCAGACAGGUGAGACUUAAACCGGCCAUUACCCCUACCUUCCAGAAGAAUCCUGUCAAGGGAAACGUGAUCAAACCUGUAGUAGAGGGAGAGGUGGAGAAAGUGGAGUGGAGUCAACCCAGCAUUAACCCUGUGGGGCUCAGAACGAGGUGGCUUCCUGACCAGGCUCCUUCCCCCAGGACUCAACACCAGGUCUCAGGCAAGGAAAGCUCAGUGCCAAUGGAGAGGGACAACAGGUCUUUAGGUUGGCAGGAUCAGAGGAGAAGUUGGGCUAGCAGGACAUCAUCACACCUCAGUGGUAGUGGGACUCCUACCCAGUCUAACAACUCCCUCCCCGGGGCUAACACUACCUCAGAGCCUGCCAGGAAGAGCCCUCUACACAGGACAACCAGCAACAACCAACAUUCUUCACACACUGAGGUUCCACCCUAUGGGACCAGCUCACAGUCUCCUGGAAUCCAACCUGGGGACGACUCAGACUCAGAACCCUGCUGGAGAUCUUCUCUACACAGGACCAAUAGCUUCCAAACGUCUUCUCCCUGGACGAUCAGGCCAAUAGUCCAAAAUAAUACUUCACACACUGAGAUAACCCCCUCUGGAACCAAAUGUGCACCGUACAGGAGCAACAACUCUCUAUGUAGGACAAACAGCGUCCAACAGAAACCCUCACACGCUGAGUUAACUCCUUAUAGAACCAGCUCAGAGCCUUACAGAGCAACCUCUCUACAAAAACGAACAAGUUGUCUUCCACAAACUUCUCCUGCUGGGGUAGUAUCACCCCCGGCCCCUGGGACCACUACAGGUGCUACCAUCGUCCUGAAGACAACUACACCAGCCUUCUCCUCCAUUACCAUCGCCACCAAGAAGAUCUCCAGGACGACAAGCCUCCGUGAGUCUAGACCUCUGAGCCCUGGAUCUAGAGCCCCCAGACCCCAGAGCUACCACUCUAAUGAGGCCAGGGUCCCAGGCUAUAAAGCCCCCAGGCCCCAGAGCUACCACUGUGAUGAGGCCAGGGUCCCAGGCUAUAAAACCCCCAGUCCCCAGAGCUACCACUGCGAAGAGGCCAGGGUCCCAGGCUAUAAAACCCCCAGGCCCCAGAGCUACCACUGCGAAGAGGCCAGGGUCCCAGGCUAUAAAACCCCAGGCCCCAGAGCUACCACUGCGACGAGGCCAGGGUCCCAGGCUAUAAAACCCCUAGGCCCCAGAGCUACCACUGCGACGAGGCCAGGGUCCCAGGCUAUAAACACCCCAGGCCCCAGAGCUACCACACAAACCAGGCCAGACUCUCCACCACCUGCACCUCUGUCACCCAGCAGGACCAGGUCCAUCACCACCACCCCACCGGCAACGACCCAGGCUCCACCCCUGUCACACUCAGGAGAAAGUCCACUGCCACCAUAGUCAAAGUGACCGAGCACAGAAGGAUGACCUCUGAACCUGUCAACCGACUGAAUGGAAGGCAGAGCCCUGUUUCAUCUGUGUCAGGUGACCAACCAAAUGAUCAGGGCACGGCGGUUCACAGGAGAAAAGCCACCGUCAUAAAAGUGACCGAACACAGAGAGAGCUACAGCCCAGGUCAGGAUGCCAGUGGUGUGAUCAGAAGCAGCAGUAGGCCGUCAGAGUACAGACACAGUUACACAGAGGGAGUGUACAGACACAAAUCCCCGUGGCAACAAUCCCCGUGGCAACAAGGAGCCAUGAAUUCAAACAUGAACUCUAUGGAAUCCCUCCAUAGUACCCCUCCCUCCCAGUACCUUCUAGAAUCAUCUAUGGACAGGAUAGACAGGCCCAACUCUGCUCUGUUCCUGACUCCAAACAAGUCCACCUCAACCACUACAGUUGCUCUGAGGGACCCAGAGGGAAGCAGAGGUGGAGGGAAGCCAAUACAGAAGUCUACCCUGAUGCUGUUCAUCAACCCCCCUUCUCCCUCUUCCAGAGAGACGUCCAUAGAGAAGGUUGGUGUAGAGAGAGGAGGCGAAGAGAGACGGGCUCGGGACAGAGCCAGGAGACCAGCGAGCUGCUAUGCUAAUGUGUUUGGCCACACUGACCCGACAGAGCCAUGCCCGGUCUCAGAGACUGUUACUGUUACACAAGCUGGACCCGGGAACUGGAGCCCAGAGACUGUUACUGUUACACAAGCUGGACCCGGGAACUGGAGCCCAGACUGUUACUGUUACACAAGCUGGACCCGGGAACUGGAGCCCAGAGACUGUUAC
ensembl:lncRNA